GACGAACGCUGGCGGCGUGCUUAACACAUGCAAGUCGAACGGAAAGGCCCUGCUUUUGUGGGGGGCUCGAGUGGCGAACGGGUGAGUAACACGUGAGUAACCUGCCCUUGACUUUGGGAUAACUUCAGGAAACUGGGGCUAAUACCGGAUAGGAGCUCCUGCUGCAUGGUGGGGGUUGGAAAGUUUCGGCGGUUGGGGAUGGACUCGCGGCUUAUCAGCUUGUUGGUGGGGUAGUGGCUUACCAAGGCUUUGACGGGUAGCCGGCCUGAGAGGGUGACCGGACACAUUGGGACUGAGAUACGGCCCAGACUCCUACGGGAGGCAGCAGUGGGGAAUAUUGCACAAUGGGCGGAAGCCUGAUGCAGCAACGCCGCGUGCGGGAUGACGGCCUUCGGGUUGUAAACCGCUUUCGCCUGUGACGAAGCGUGAGUGACGGUAAUGGGUAAAGAAGCACCGGCUAACUACGUG
rnacentral:rRNA from 1 species